AUUGAACGCUGGCGGCAGGCCUAACACAUGCAAGUCGAACGAGUGGCGGACGGGUGAGUAAUGUCUGGGAAACUGCUUGAUGGAGGGGGCUAACUAUUGGAAACGGUAGCUAAUACCGCAUACAAUGGGUAGUGCCCAUAUGGGAUUAGCUAGUGGGUGGGGUAAAGGCUAACCUAGGCGACGAUCCCUAGCUGGUCGGAGAGGAUGACCAGCCACACUGGAACUGAGACACGGUCCAGACUCCUACGGGAGGCAGCAGUGGGGAAUAUUGAACAAUGGGCGCAAGCCUGAUGCAGCCAUGCCGCGUGUAUGAAGAAGGCCUUCGGGUUGUAAAGUACUUUCAGCGGGGAGGCGUUACCCGCAGAAGAAGCACCGGCUAACUCCGUGCCAGCCGCCGCGGUAAUAC
rnacentral:rRNA from 1 species